UACGGGGGGAGCAAGCGUUGUUCGGAUUUACUGGGCGUAAAGGGCGCGUAGGCGGCCACCGCAAGUCGACUGUGAGAUCUCCGGGCUUAACCCGGAAAGGUCAGCCGAUACUGCGGGGCUAGAGUGCAGAAGGGGCAACUGGAAUUCUCGGUGUAGCGGUGAAAUGCGUAGAUAUCGAGAGGAACACCUGCGGCGAAGGCGGGUUGCUGGGCUGACACUGACGCUGAUGCGCGAAAGCCAGGGGAGCGAACGGG
rnacentral:rRNA from 1 species